CACAGGUCUAGGAUUGUUUUAAAGUUUGGAGAGGGUGCCUUUCAGGGAAACCCAGGAAUAUGUACACAUACAAUAACUUACUGUUCUUUCGCAAGUUUGAUGUGGCUGUGACUUAGCCUAUUUUUGUAUCUAUUUUGGAAUACCAGUGUGUUUGUACCACUAUUUGUGUUGUUGAAAACAAAAAUUGCCCUUUUCCCCUUAUGGGAUAUCCAAGAGCCCAUAUAGAUUCCUUACAUAGGUUCCCUAUUGGUAGGAGAAGAUAACAGAGGCCAACCAGAGAAUAUUGAGAAGCAAAGCAGCUAGUAAGCUUGAUCUUUAUUGAUCUGUUGCAACAGGGUGCUCCCCUCACCCGCAGGAGAGGAGGAGGAACCUAGAAAAAUGGCGCACAAGGCCUUAUAAAGUCUUUUGAAAUUGCCACCCUGUAGAUCAAGACCACCCCCAGAAACAUCAUACAUACAUCACAGAAGGGGUGUAACCUAAGACCACCCAUCAGAUACAGUGGUGCCCCGCAAGACGAAUGCCUCGCAAGACGGAAAACCCGCUAGAUGAAAGGGUUUUCCGUUUUUGAGUUGCUUCGCAGGACGAAUUUCCCUAUGGGCUUGCUUCGCAAGACGAAAAUGUCUUGCAAGUCUUGAGAUUUUUUUUUCGCUUUUCCCCCCCUUUAUCUAAUCUGCUAAGCCUUUAAUAGCCUUUAAUAGCCUUUUAGCAGCUAAUCCGCUAAGCCUUUAAGCCUUUAAUAGCCGCUAAACCGCUAAUAGCGCUAAUCCGUUAAGCCGCUUAUAGGGUUGCUUCGCAAGACGAAAAAACCGCUAGACGAAGACUCUCGCGGAACGGAUUAAUUUUGUCUUGCGAGGCACCACUGUACAUCAUACCUACAUCACAGAAAACGCAGUCUUAAAACAGAAAUUUGAAUGUUGUUUUUCUCCUGUUGUUGUUUAUCUGCUGUCUGGCAGGCUACUUGAUUGGAUUGCCUGGGGAGCCUGGCCAGUCUUCUGUAAUAAUAAAUACUUAGUUCCUGGGCCAGGUCACAGGCUCACACCCAAUUCAUAUCUUAAAUGUGCCCUUAAGACAGGAUUUGUGAGGAAAGAGACAAUGGGGAGGUUUCCCACUUUGACCUUGAAGAGAAAACAUUUGCUCAGUUUAGGAAUCAAAAUGUUUCCAUGUUGGUCUUCCUGCGCUGCUCUAUGUACGUGCUUGGUUGGUACGCUUAUGAACAUAACCAUAUAUCUAAGACCUCAAAAUUCCUAUCACAGUGUAUAGAAAUGUAAGCAAGUAAUGAGUUCAAUCUGGAUUGAUUAAGAGCUAAAAGAUUAUGUGGAGAUAAGGGAUUUAUUAACGGAUUGGUUACAGUUUCACCAAUUAAAUUAUAUUUUUUAAAUACAGUGGUACCUCAGGUUACAUACGCUUCAGGUUCCAUACACUUCAGGUUACAGACUCCACUAACCCAGAAAUAGUACCUUGGGUUAAGAACUUUGCUUCAGGAUGAGAACAGAAAUCGUGCUCUGGCAGCGCGGCAGCAGCAGGAGGCCCCAUUAGCUAAAGUGGUGCUUCAGGUUAAGAACAGUUUCCGGUUGCAGUCGUGAAAUAUCAAGAUUUCAAAAAGAUCUGCUAGAAAAUAAUGCUAAAUUACUGUCCAAAAUGUAUAGCUUACUUUUAGAGUGGCAUACAAAAGAUGAACAGGUCAAGUCAGUAAUGAUACACUGGGCAAAGGAUCUGGGACAUAAUAUUCAGAUAGUAGAUUGGGAAACGUUAUGGAAAACAGAUUUGAAAUUUACGGCAUGUUAUGCUUUGAAAGAAAACUAUGAAAUUGAUGUACCGGUGCUAUUUAACCCCUACCAAGUUGGCAAAAAUGUAUAGGACAACUACAAAUACUUGUUGGAAAUGUAAAGAAAAAGAAGAUACUUUUUAUCAUAUGUGGUGGACUUGUAAGGUAAUAAAAGCUUUCUGGGAGAUGAUGUACAAUGAAAAUGUUUAAAAUAGCUUUUGUUAAGAAACCAGAAUGAUUUCUAUUAGGAAUUACAGAUACUAAUAUUCCAAAGGAAAAGAAGAGACUCUUUAUGUAUGGAACAACAGCUGGCCAGAUGUUAAUAGCUGGAUGGAAAGAGGACAAGGUCCCUACCAGAGAGGAGUGGCAAACCAAGCCGAUGGACUAUGCCGAGAUGGCAAAACUGAAUGGAAAACUCAGAAACCAAGGGGACAAAAACUUUAUGAAAGAAUGGGGGGGGGGGAUUAUAAAUUAUUUAGGAGACCACUGUAAGCAGAUGGAAACAUUAGCAGGAUUUUAAUCUCACUUGUAGUUUAAAAAUUACCAUGGAUAAUAUGGUUUGAUAUAAAAAUUGAAGUAUGAAAGAAUAUACAGUAUUAAAUGUUAAAAAUGGGACCCCAUGGAAGGGAUGGGGGGAAGUCCUGAGAUUCGGAGGAAUCUAUAUGAAUAUACUUUUUGAUUUUUUUGUUUAUAACUUUGUAUUUGAGAAAACAAUAAAAAUGAUUUCAAAAAAAGAGAGAGAAAGAGCUGCUCUGUGGGGUGGGGUGGGAGAGCAGGUUAGGGGUAUUGCUUUGUUCCUACUUUGUACCUGAGCUGACUGUUGUACAAAACUCAGUGGAAAUUAUCUGAAAAAAACAAAAAACAAAAAUGCAAUCUCAG
rnacentral:lncRNA from 1 species